rnacentral:tRNA from 1 species
GGCGGAAUAGCUCAGUUGGCUAGAGCACUCGGUUCAUACCCGAGGUGUCGUAGGUUCAAGUCCCACUUCCGCUACCA